rnacentral:rRNA from 1 species
GAUGAACGCUAGCGACAGGCCUAACACAUGCAGGUCGAGGGAAAGGGUAGCAAUACCUAAAACCGGCGCACGGGUGAGUAACGCGUAUGUAACCUGCCUACAACAGGGGGAUAGCUUCCGGAAACGGAAAUUAACACCGCAUAAGACCACGAUAUAGCAUUAUAAAGUGGUAAAAUCUGAGGAGGUUGUAGAUGGGCAUGCGUGACAUCAGGUAGUUGGUAGGGUAACGGCCUACCAAGCCGACGAUGUCUAGGGGUUCUGAGAGGAAGGUCCCCCACACUGGAACUGAGACACGGUCCAGACUCCUACGGGAGGCAGCAGUGAGGAAUAUUGGUCAAUGGACGCAAGUCUGAACCAGCCAUGUCGCGUGCAGGAAGACGGCCCUAUGGGUUGUAAACUGCUUUUGUACGGGAAGAAAGUUAGCUACG